GUCUUAAUCCCUCCUUGGGAAGUUUUUGCACGAGCCCUGGCCAGUAACGCCCUUGUCCUUCAUGGGUGUUCACCUCUGCUGACUGCCUUGCCCAGAAAGGAGGCUUCACCAGCACAGCUCUGUAAUUACAGAGGCCACUGACUCGCUCCCGCUUGGCUUCUCAUCGAUCACUGCGACAGCUGCCGUGCUUACACGGGCCAGCUUUGGGGGAGAACAGCAUCUUUUUCUGCCUUGGUCCAGAGACCUCUCAAUUCAGUGGAAAAUUGUUAAGUCCAAUGGCCUCAAACCAGGCACUGUUCCACCUCAAAUCAGAUAGUUUUGCCACCGCUGGUGUGGGGCCCUUGGCAGCAGGACCAUGCAGCAGUUUUAGACGUUGUCCCAGUUGGAGCAUCUCAAGCAAACCCUCAGUCAUUAAUGAUUUACCUGCAGUGAAAUGUUUUUUGUUUUUUGUUUUCCCAGCCCUAGGAAUGGGACUGUUUGAGUUUUGAUUUGUAAGUCUGUAGGAAAUCUAAAUGAAGGAGAAGGGGAUAGGUUUAAUUUUGACAAUGUGUGGGAAUCCCUCUGGAAGUGGCAUCUCUCUAGUGCCCAAGAGGAAAGUCUGGCCAGCUCGUUUAGGCUGUCAUCCAAUAUCCAGAGGUGAGAUGAAUCCUCUCCUUAGUCAGGAUUCCAGUUGUCACAGUGGGUAUUUAAUAAAAAAUUAGAGUUUAUUUUGAUUCUCCAUCUAACACUUCGUGUUUUAGUGGAAGUUGCUCUGGAAGCUGUUCCUAGUUUUGUAAUGGCCAUUUAGAAUAAAACUUCGCCUCUUGUGCUCUGAAGUCGCUGCAUAUCUCAAACAGUUUUCUAGCUCCAAACAAGGAAUUUUUAAAAUAAUAAUUCAGAUACUGCAAGUGAAGUGCUCCCUGAUUGUGUGAUACGUGGCUGACGGGGGGAUCUGAACUGUGUCCAAGUGACAUUAAUGCCAGCAGAGACAUGGGGGUGGCAGCCAUUAAUGGUGGAGGUGGUGGUAACUUCCCCUAAAAAACUACUGCCCUGGAUUUUUGAGAGUUUUGACCUUUAUCCAGCAAGAAUGGCUGAAAUUGUUUAAUUGUUAAAAUACUGAAAAAUACAUGAUACGAAAUCUCAUUACUUGGAAGAUAAUAUUGCAAGGUUUGCUCUUCCUUUUAAAUGAAAUAGCUUGCAUUAACCUACAACUUACAACAUUAAUUAUUCAUUUUUGCUGCAUUUUUAUCUGCUGGCAUCUGUGAAGAGGAAACCACUCUAACAGAGCUAGCUUAACUAAUCUUGAUCCUUUCCUGGCAUGGAUUCCUCUUCUGGAAAGUUGAGCUAUUUGUACUUUAUUUCAUCUUUAAUUCGGUCUCUGUUCUUUUUACCAACAUGUGGUUUCCUGAAUUACACUUUACUAACUGCUAACAGCAAUGUGCUUGGUUGUCCAAACUAAUUACUUUAUGAUUCCAUCACAUACUUAGUUUUGGGCAUGUAAUGGAAAGAGAAAGGAAAGCAAAACCACUGUUUUCUAUGGAAAUCUAAUAUGUGAGGAAUCCUGGCGGUGCAGAGAUGGAGUUCCCUCUCCCUUUGCUCCACAUCCCCUGGCUGUAACUGUGUGUGAGUGGGAACAGCCAUACUCUUCUGGGGUGGGGGGUGGGAAGGCUGGCUGGUGGAUUUGGAGACUGGCUGGUUGCUCCCUGGCUCAGCCCAGAGCUGCCUUCACGCAUGGUGUUUUGGCUGCUGGUACGAAAUCAUCCCGUUACCCGUUUGCUUCCCAUCGAGGAUAGCUGGGUUGCACGUGGAAGGGCUUUCAUGGCUGCAUAGACCUGCAAGCUUUUGAUUGCCAUUUGGUAGUAAAACCUUGGAAAUCUACUCAGUAAUAGCAUUACCUAUACUAUUACCUACCUAUUAUUACUAGGCAAGCAGGUUGUAUCUGGCUUGGUAUGUUCUUGAGGCAAUUCUAGGCAGAAUUGGUAAUGAAAACAGCAUGGUGAGCAAGCAUGAAGGAAGGCCCCUGCAAGUUGCUGAAGCUUUUCAGUCCCCUGAAACAUCAAAGUUGGGAUUACAUCACUGGGUUGGCCAGUGAAACUGGAGAACUCGCCCCUUGGAUUUAACAGUGCAGAUAAUUAAACAGUGGAGCAGCAUACCUAGACAGGGUGGGAUGUUUUGUCACCUCAGGUCAUUACGUAAAGGCAGGCUCCCUCUCCACAAUGCUCCAUGGCACGGGCAGGAGCUGCAGAUGCGGUGAGGGAAUUAGUAGGUCAGGUUGUGGUGUGUGCUGGGCAGUGGCUCAGGCUGAAAGGAGGGGAUGUGAAAGUGUGGUGCAAAGCUGUAAUUGCUGAGUGAGUCACGUGUCUGAAGUUAUAAUGAAGCUGUGAUCUGGAGUGAAUUUUUAUAAUGGCAUAUGUGAGUGUGGUCAGUCUGAAAUAACAGAGGGUGGCUGCAGCUCAGAAGUAAGCUAGCUGCCUUUGAAAUUGCAAUUUAUUUUUUUGAAUAGAGAGACAUUUCUAAGAGCAGAAAAUUAGAAAGAGCACUACAUAACCCACCUUGAAAGUGCCUUGCUGCCUUGUUAAAGCUCUGUGUGAGUGUUGGGGCCAUUACUGCUUCCAUGGUUUGAAGGAGGGUAAAAGACUGGCCACAAUCUUAGCAAAAAAAUUACGUGAAUCCCUCCCAUCCCCAACCUCAAUGUUUCACUCUGAAAGUGGAAUGAGAUUCCUCCAAAGUCUUCACCUUUGCAGAUCUUCUGUAAAGAUCAGGCUGUGGCCUUCAUUGCUGACUGAUAUGGGUCAAGAGGCAGCAACACUGCAUGUUAAUUGUGAGUUGUGACUGAACACCUUGUUUCCCUCUGCUAAUUCCUGUGCUCCUCUGUGCUGGCAGAAGGAAGGAAGGUAGAGCAGGCCCAUGGCUGCUCUCUGCUCUCUGGUGGAGCAGGCAGAUGUCAGGCAGGGCAGGAAGAAGUAGGAUACCAGAAAUGUGUUGGGUAGGAGUGUUUUCCCCAGGACACUUGUGCCUUUGGAUCGGCUGCCCGAUGUGCACACCUCCCUCGCAGUUGCCACCCAAGAAUGUGAUGAGAUUCACAGUCAGUGACUGAACAAACUCGUGACUUUGGGAGGUGCAGAUGGCAGGGAGGUAGAAAACCAGAAGGAAAGUCAAUCUAGGACACAGCGGAGAGGCUUCCCAAUUUGUUUUGGUCCUUGCGGAGCGGGGGUUGAGGGGGUUACACCUAAGUGUUGUUGGAAGUUGUUUUCAGCUUUCAGCACCUUUAUGAAAGCUGCAGUAGCUUCUGUGCUCCUUAUGGUUCUUCUGGAAGUAGAAGAGAAGGAGAUGAAAUGGAAAGAGUGGGUUAGCUGUUACUGUUUGUUUUAAAUAAUAAUUAUGCAGGUAGUAAACUAGGUGUAAUUCCAGAUGGUGUGGAUUCUUGCUCCAUCCAUCUCUGCUCCUGGCAGCUGACAAAAGCAAGAAAUACCAAGUUAGGCUGAUAUCUAUCUGCUUUUGAGUGAAUCUGUUUUCCAAACGUCACAGCUUGGGGAAGCUCUCAGAAACCUGUUCUCCCUCCACCUUGUGAUGCAUUUCUGGAGUUGAGAUGGCGAACAAUUGCUUCUAAGGGUGGAAAUUUGAACAGCCCUUCUCCAAGACCAGGACUGUUUGGCUGAAGCCAGUUCAGCCUGGCACUCACUAUGGGAAGUUUCUAUGGACACUUUGUGAUGCUGGUGACUCGCCAGGACACAGGCUUACUGCAAAGUGAUCAAAUAGUUGUGGGGCUGCUGCUUUCUAAUUCAGAUUUUGUUGUUUCAUGACUUUGGGGCUAGUCUUGUAACCAAGGCAGCUAAAUAUGCUUUUAAUUAGUGCUGGUUGAAGUAUUUGAGUGAAAUACGCACCGAAGAGUUACAUCUUUAGUGUGCAGUUCUUAUUUAUGUUAGGAGCUGGUUUACUUGUUUGGAUCAGGUUUUUGGCUGUUAUCACCCAGCGUAGCAUCACUGGAGCUUACAGGCUGGCAAAGUUUGACCUAUCCUUUCUUCUUAGCUGGGAGUUGAAAAGGAAAUGGUAGAGAGUGAAAUUAUUUAUCACAGCAGGCUCAAAACAGAAAAGACCUGGCACUUUUCUCUUGAGGAAUACUCUGUAUUUCUUAUCUUCUACUUCGGCCAAUCUGUUUCUGUGUGUCAGUGAUAAAAGAAAGCUUGAAAGAUUUCCACUUUUCACCCUUAUCAUUCUGAAGGCUGGUAGGAGACCAUGUUGUCAAAAGCUUAAAUAUCUUCAUACCACAUUAACUUUUGAGUUGUUUCAUUUAUAAGACAAUGAAUUAUGUGACAUUCACUUCAAGUCAUAAUUUACAUUGACUCACAGUAUUUUUAAGGAAGGGUUGCUUUCAAAGGAACUGCUUUCAAAAUCUCAAACAUUUGAAGAAAAUGGACUGGUACAAAAAAAAAGUAUUAUGUUAUAAAAUAACAGCAUCAAAUGCAAUCAUGCCUGGAUGUGGAAGCCUUUUAGAAAUACCAACAGUGUUUUGAGAAUGAAAAAUGCAAAAAUUAUGACGCUAAUAACCUGCUAGAGUUUAAUGACCCUUUCCCAAAUAUCUGUGUUAAUGUUUCAUAGCUAUUAUUUGAACUAGUUCUGAUCAGCUGAUAUGACGCUGUUUUUCCCUCCAGUAAAGGGAAGAAUCCUUUGAAUAACACCCCCUGGAUGACUGAUUCUCAGGAGUCAGCAUGUCUCUUCUGCCUCCAUUGACCUCUGUGGGAAAGCAGAGAGAUGCUUGAUCUCUUCUGGGAUGGGUGCCUUACUCAGUAAAUUGAAUGCCAAGGGAUCCUAUUUUUGGUGAUGUAUAGGUGACUGAGGGGCUGACAUGGAAGGAAACUUCCUGGAUGGAUUCUAAGUGAGUGCAUGUUCACACAGUGUCCCCAGGGACAGGAUUGUAGCUCAGGGGGUGGCAGGGUGCAGGGAAAACCCAGCGUCAUCUGCAAUUCUGCAAAGCACUGCCAGUUUUCUCUUCCUUAAACAAGAAAACUGGUUUCCAUGCUAACUUUGUGCAGGCUGAUCGCUCAUGGCAGAAUUUCUAAAUAAAUAUCCUGCCUCUUGAGUCAGGCGAUUGCAAAAGGUGAAGUCAUGCUGUUGAUACAGUGUAGGAACUAGAGUGAUAACCUAGAACAGUUUCCCUUUGCUACAAGGGAGUGUAUUUCCUCUAAUGCAUAAGCCUUUGAUAACAUCUCAAAUGGUUUUAGCCUAAAAACUUAUCUCGUGGUUCUUCCCAAGUCUUAAGCUUAAACUGAAGAACUGCAGAUCUGCCGUGGGCACAUCUCUAAUUGCACUUGGGAGGAGCUCUGAUGAGGAGCAAACUGCAGCCACAGCAUGGCUUUGUGCUCCUCCAGCCUCCCACCACUUCCUUUUCCCAUCUUAAUUUUGCUCUUGAUACUAAAUUGAUGGAGAACCACGGCUUCCUCAGGGCCAUCUCUGCCUGCCUGCUGACAAAAUGGAGGGAACAAAGAGAUUUCCAUACUGGCAGAGCUGUCCCCUUCCAGGGUCAUUCCUCUCACUCCCAGCCCUGCCUCUCAGCUGGCUUGCAGCAGCUCAUCCUCUCUAUGCUGGCCCCAAUCACUGGACUGUGCUGAUUCCCAGUGGCAGAGCACC